CCGGUGAAGGAGCCCGGCGACGACGUGCCCGAUCCCGGGGAAGGGGUGCCGGACGAGCCCAGGAUGGAGCCGGCUCCUUCCGGGGCUGGGCGGCUGCCGGCCCGGGAUUCCUCAAAUCCAAGGGAUCGGCGUUCCCCAGUCUAAGCAGACAGCGCCAGUUUCCCUGCACAACUAAAAAGGAACAAUCGCAUCCAAGGUAGAUUUUUAGCAAAAGGAGAGAGAGGGAGAGAAGCGGAGGACUGGCUGGGUGUUGCUGGAGAGGCAGCGUUUUCUCCCUCCCCGUUGCUACUUGGUGGUGGUGUGUGGCAACUUGUUUCCUUCGCCAAGGUUCGCCACGGAGUUAAAAGAAAUCCUCCAAAAACCUCAGGAUCCUGGCUCGGGGAGGAGCCUCCGCGAGGCUUGCAGCCAAUAUCUUUCUCCCCAUUUUGGCCAAGCAGUUUCUUGCAAAGAGGAAAAGCUCAGCGCUCCUGGAGCUGCUGCCGCCGCUGCUGCUGCAGAAGCGACACUGCCAACAGCCACCUCUGAAAGCUGCAAAAACGCUGCCGGGGCUUAACUACAGGCGGCCGGCUGUUGACUGACUGUGGAGGGUCCAUUUUCGUUGCAGUAUUUCUUGACUGACAUUUGUGAUUUUUCUCUCUCUCUCUCAAAUCCCUCCCUCCUAAGAGAAAGGGGAGGAAUGGGCUUGCCUGCACCAUAGUAGCUGGUUGCUCAUGGUUGGCAUUCAAAGGCACUAGUCAGUUUGGGUUUUGCAAGUGGUUUGGAUGGGUGCUGGGGAGAAGGAGUAGGAAGCCAUGCCUGACACCCCACCCACCCUACCUUCCUCCAUACAGGACCUCAUGCCUAUAUGCAUAGACAAAAGGAUCUCUGGAUACCAAGUGGUUAGGAAUAGCAAACAUAAGAUCUCAACACCAGGGUUUUGUUUUUGUAUUUUAAACACUUCUGUUUCAGGAAGGAAUGUGCGCACAGGUUAUCCCAAAGUGCAAAAGACAACCAUAAUAUUUCUGCAAGGUUUAUCCCCAAACAGCUGGCGGGACAUAGAUCAGCUGCUAAACUUAGGACAAGAUCCAUUCGUUUGAAGAUGCGCAGAGGGGCUUGUUUCAAGCUCCUCAUCCAUGACACCUGCCAUGGGUGUAGCUAGAAUAUAUUGGGGGGACGCAAGAACCUAGUUAUCUGCAAUGCAAUUGGUCAGUUAGUUAAGUAUUUUUAUUGAUUUUAGGGGGAGAGCUGCACACACCCACACUCCAGCUACGCUCAUGACACCUGUAUCCCAAAUCUGCAUUGCCUACCAGGAGAUUUUAAAAUGCUAGAAAUCAAUAUAUUUUGCAAAAUCAUUGUGUUGGUGGGGAAGAAUCGGUGGCUCUGCAGCACCCAGCAUUUCUGCCUUCUCAACCCUAGGUAGCCUUUGUUAGACCUGGACUGAAACCCACACCCCAGCGAGGUGAAUGGUAAACAUUCUGCACAACGGGGAGAGAGUGAGAUGUUGUGGGUGGGUGCACAUGCAUGCAUACAAUUAUAUUUAUAUACCUGUGUGUGGUUUCCUGCAGCAACACAGAGGCUGGGAUUCUCAAGAAACUGAAGUCCUGUCCCACACCAAAUCUGUAUGCCAUACUAAUAGCCCUGGCUAUAAUGGGAUCUUGGCUUCCAGCCCAACCCCUCUCAUGUCAGUGCUAUGUAAUGCAUGGUGCAUUUAUUUCCUCUACAUAAUCAAAGCCUUCGGGCCUGUCUGCACAUUGCAGUUACCACAUGGAAACAAUUUAAAAUCACUCCAUCUGGCACCUGUUAUCAUAUUAAUACUUAGCGUUUAUACCACUUUAGUGUUCCAAACACUUCAUACUCAUUAGCUUAGCAAUUGUUGCAGCAACCCUUUAGGACAGGCCAGGAUUAUUAUCCCGCCUUGAGAAUGGGGGGUUGAAGGUGAGAGAGAGUGGCUGGCUACCCAGUAAGUUUCCCAGCAGAGAUUAACUCUGAACUGAUAAGUUCCUGAUUCACAGCUCCGUCUCUUAGCCACUGGGCCAUUUUGGUGGUUAGUCAUUUGUGUGGAAUGCUCCAUCACAUGGGCCGGUUUUCUCCAUGCUAGUUAAAAAAGAACUUUUCUUUUUUGUGCUUUUGAACCGGCGCCGAAAUGAUCCUUGCUGCUACACAGUGAGCCAGUUCACACACAUAUGGCUCCCCACAGGGUGGCAGAUACCACAUUGAGCUUUCUGCAGAGACUUCAGCGUGAUGUACAAAACGGUCCCCGGUGUUAAUUCCAACAUAUGUAACGUUUUGGUUGCCUGAUCCCAAAGAGAAUAUCCUAGAGCUGGGCAAAAUAUGCAAAAGGGACAACUGCACGAUGAAGAGGUUGGAGCAGCUUCCUUACAAAGAGAGGCUUUUACAAAGAGACAGCGUAGUGUAAUGGUUAGAGUGUCAAGACGAAAACUUGGGGACCAGGGUUCAAAUCCCUACUCAGCCAGGAAGCUCCUUGAGUGACCUUGAGCCAGUCACUGCCUCUCAAACUAACCUACCUCACAAGGUUGUUGUGGGGAUUUAAUUACAGAAGGUGGGAACUAUGUAUGCUAGAAAAGGUGGGAAAUAAAUGCAAUAAAAUAAAAUAAAAUAAUGGUU